rnacentral:lncRNA from 1 species
GCCACAUUUAAUAUAAGUUUCCGGACCAUAAGGUUAGGUUUUGUGUUUUUUAUUAUUUCUAUCCAUUUUUUGAUGACUUUGAUUCAAAGUUCUUAUUUUGAUGUACUAAUUUCAGUGAGAUGGUAGUGGAUGAGACAGCUGGUACAGGGAGGAAUGAUAUGUUAAGCUGCUAAAAAUUGGUUGUGGAGGUUGAUGAGGGUGCACUUGAU